CUUUCUCUAUCAAUGAUUAAGGUUUGCAGAUUCUUAAGCAUCGAUAAUCCCUUAGGAAUAGAUUCCAUAUAGUUAAUAGCAAGAUAUCUUAAAUGAAAUAACUCACAUAGUUGAUGCACUGAUGGUGAGCUCUCCACGUCAGCAGGUACCGUAUCCAACACCCUCAGCAACCCUCACACCCUUGACAAAGUUCAGUUUCACUAAACAAUAUUCGAGCAUCUGAUGGAAUGGAUGGUUGAAUCAUCAUCGUCUGAAAGGUAUCUUAGAUGAGAAGAAUCAAGGCUUACGCGGCGCUGAUUCUUUAUCCUUUCUUCAAAAUGUUCCUUUUCAACAUUCUUAUCCAUCAGAUUCAAGAAAAACUUACUUUCAUGGGCUUUUCUUAUGCACAAGUCCCUCAUCAGAUCAUGGAGGCUGCAGCUUUUGAUUCUGUUAUCAGACUUCCUCUUUUUGACCAAAACAAGAUUUCUCUUCAUGAGUUCAUCUAAACACUCUUCUCCCACCGCUUCACAGCUCUUGGAGUUGAUUGAAAAUUUCAGAAAGCCCUCAGCUACCCACAACCUCAUGAGUUUCACAACCUUGAUCUCAUCAUCUUCCGGAAAGGUAGCCAUGUACAAGAAACAUGGCCUCAAAUAUUGAGGUAAUUCGACGUAGCUCAAAGAUAGUAUCUCCUCUAUUUGGUCAUGCUCUGUAGUUUUUGCAGACUUCACCUUUUCUGCAAUCUCCUGCCAUGAAGAUGGAUUCUUACUAACUGUGGAUAGAAGCCCCGCAAUCACCACAAUCGCGAGGGGCAAUCCUUGCAGCUUGUCGCAAUCUCCUCCCCAAUAGUUUCUAAAUUGGAAGGACAUUCUUCAUCUGCAAACACCUUAUGCUUCAACAAAUUCCAGCUCUGCUCUGCAUUCAACAGGCUUAUCUCAUGAAGCCUGUUCGAAGGAUCCGGAUAAGAAGCCACCUCAAACAACCUCGUGGUUAGCACAACACGGCUUCCGUGCCAUCAUCAGGAAAUACCCUUCUGACGACAUCCCAUGCCUCACCACUCCACGUAUCAUCCAUCACAACUAAAUAUCUCCUGCCCAUUAAAAUUUUGUGCACUUUUUCAUCAUCACUUUUUCCCAAUCUACCUGUGUUGUAUCUUUCAAGGACUCCAGAAGGCUAGAAAGAAUUCUCUGUGCACUGUAAUCUUGUGAUAUUGUGACCCAAACACGAAUCACAAAAUGGCCCACCGUUAAUGGAUCGUCAUAAACGUUCCUGGCAAGAGUAGUUUUGCCGAUGCCACCCAUGCCACAGAUUGGGAUGACUUGGAGUCGGGAUGGCUCUCCACAGAGGCGAUCCUUCACGUCUAACACAUAAUCUUCAAAACCAACCAUGGAAUAUUUGUGGAUGGAUGGAUCAGUUGAUGAUGAAGUAGGAGCAGCAGAAGUAUCAGCACCACCACGUUCAACGUCUUUGCUGCUGGACUAUCCUUGAUUUCCCUUACUUGUGCAGCAAUCAAUGCAAUCUUCUGCAUCACUCUUUGCAUCUGCUGUUCUUGNAAGAACACAUUCCCAUCCUCUUUUCUUCUUCAAUCUGAAUCAUGAGAAAGAUAAAUCGGCAUGUUUUUGUCAUCUUCAUCAUCAACUCAAAACUCUGAAAGCUUGAAACCCGAUGAUCGGCCAACAAAACACACAUAUAACACCGGCUGUGAAAUAACCAAAAAUGAAUAAAAAUCGGAUAAGAUGCAUGUAGCAAAGAAUAGUUAAUGUAAUUACUAAGUUAGUUAUCUUAUCAUAUAAAGACUAAGUUUGGAAAGUUGUGACCAAUAGCAAAUUCAAGGGAUGAAAGGCAGUACCUUAUCCAAAUCCACAUCUUUAGGACUUAGCACUGCAGACAACUUGAAGCAUGUUGUUUACCAAUUCUUCUUGCUCCUCUCGUAUCAAUUCAACCGACUCAAUUAGAGACUUUUUCACUUCACCUGUAACCUCAAUGAGUUCAAGAGUUGGAAUUUCUCCAAUAUCAUUUGGAAUCCCAUUGAGAUCCCAACAAGAAUGAAGCAGUAGCCGUUUGAGUUUGGGGAAAUGGCUACUUUCAGUUGUCCAAUUCUCCAACCCUGAACCUCCAAUUAGAAGAACUUCCAACGCUGGGAAUGCUCCUUCGAUUGUUUCCCAUGUGUCACCAUCGACCCAAGUACAACUUUUUAGUUUAAGUACUUGUAGAUUUGGCAAUAAACCAACAACAAUCAUGUGGCUGAGUGGCUCCAAGGAAGUCUCAAAUCAAUCAAACUCAACUUUUUCAGCAUGCUAGGAUAAGAAAUCUUGUAGUGCUUUGGCCGAGAUCCAACCCAACGACCAGCAUAUACUUUCAAAUUCUCGAGCCGGUGCAGAUGCACCAAAUCAUUCAAACAAGCUGCAUCUUCAUGAUGGCCACCCCCAGAACAAUCAAUCUUCAACUUCUUAAGGUUUGGGAUCUUUUUCAAGAUCCUUUCUGUGCAACUCAAAUGUGACAUAUAGGAAAGUGUUUGUAGGCUUCCUAGAGAGAUAGUUGUUUCACUUGGAUCCUCAAAAUAGAUUGUGCCGUGAAAGUGAACAUGUCUUAAUUGCGGCGUGUCCCAACUCAAAACAAGAUAAUCAACUACUCCAACACCGAGUAUGUGUCGUCUUUCUUUUCCGAGGAUUAAGGUUUGCAGAUUCUUAAGCAUCGAUAAUCCCUUAGGAAUAGAUUGCAUAUAGUUAAUAGCAAGGUAUCUUAAAUGAAAUAACUCACAUAGUUGAUGCACUGAUGGUGAGCUCUUCACGUCAGCAGGUACCGUAUCCAACACCCUCAGCAACCUCACACCCUUGACAAAGUUCAGUUUCACUAAACGAUAUUUCGAGCAUCUGAUGGAAUGGAUGGUUGAAUCAUCAUCGUCUGAAAGGUAUCUUAGAUGAGAAGAAUCAAGGCUUACGCGGCGCUGAUUCUUUAUCCUUUCUCUAAAAGGCUUCUUUU
rnacentral:lncRNA from 1 species